rnacentral:Y_RNA from 1 species
UGCUGGUCGGGGUGCACUGGUGUUUAAAACUAAUUGAUCACAGCCGUUAACAGAUUUCUUUGUUCCUUCUUCAAGCCCACUGUUUCACUUGACUAGCCUUAA